UUUUUUUUUCUCCCAAUGGAGUCCAACCAUCAACCCAGCAUCCCACCACCACCACCACCAACUCACCAUGACUCGGAGGCACUGACUCAGUUCUACCCUUCAGUCCCCAUUCAAGCUGCUCUACCCUCUCCUCAUCUUGAAGGGGCAAAUUGGUCUCAAGAGCAAGAGAACAAGAAGGUUGUGGAUGCUUUAAAGACCAAGCUUGCUAGAACCAAGAGGAAAUUGGCUAGGCAAAGAAGCCUCUUGAACAAAUCCAUUGCCUCUGCUUCUUCUGUUGGGAGUAAUCGUAAUCCUGUUGAGCAACGGAUUAGGAGUGUAGUGAGGACUGAAAGGAGCCGUUUGUUGUUUGAUUUCUUCACUCCCGACAACAAGGUGAGACCUUUUUUUUUUGUCUUUUCAGUUGACAAUUUUUGGGGUUUGAGUUAUGAUUCUGAUUUGUUUUCUCUGUUGGUUUGUUGGGUUUUUUGUGAAGAGACUGAGGUUGCUGUUGAAGAAGGUUCUGAGGAAGAGUGACGUUGGUGCUCUUGGGAGGAUUGUGCUUCCUAAGGUAUAUUGGUUUAAUGUCCCCCCCCCCCCCCUCCUCUUCUCUUAUGGUUUACUGGAUAUAUCGGAUAAUGAGUCUACGACGGUUCCAUUGGUUCUGGAAGGUAAGUCAACGAUACUGCAUAUUGGGGUCAGUUUGUUCGGUCCUGGAAGGUAAAGUACAUGGUAGUAUAUAAUGAGCCUAUAACGGUUUCACUGAUUUUUUGUUAUCUAUUAUCGUUUGUCCGUUUCGGUCUCCAAAUCUAUAAUAUUCCAAAAUCAUGUCUAUUUUAAACUUAUUGUUUGUCCGUUCCGGUCUUCAAAUCUAUGGUAUUCCAAAAUCAAAUCUAUUUUAAACUUAUCGUUUGUCCGUUAUGAUCUCCAAAUCUAUAAUAUUCCAAAACUAUGUCUAUUUUAAACUUAUCGUUUGUCCGUUCCGGUCUCCAAAUCUAUAGUAUUCCAAAAUCAUGUCUGUUAUAAACUUAUCGUUUGUCCGUUCUGAUCUCCAAAUCUAUAAUAUUCCAAAACCAUAUUUAUUUUAAACUUAUUGUUUGUCCGUUCCGGUCUCCAAAUUUAAGGUAUUCCAAAACUAUUAGAUAUUAUUGUAUUUCAAAAUCAGAUUCGCCCGAUCCGAUCCUAUUUAAUUUAACCAGAUUGAACUGGGUAAAACCAAUUAUACCGGACCCGAUUCUCACCCCGGAACAAUGGUAUUCCAAAAGUAGAUGUCUACUCAACCCAUGUUAUUUGUGUUGACAGAAGGAGACUGAAGAAAACCUUCCUUAUCUCCAUGAAAAAGAAGGAAUUCAUAUUGUGAUCAGAGAUGUCUACUCAACCCAAGAAUGGACCGUAAAAUUCAAGUAAUUUAGCUUAGGAUAAUGCUUUAAAUACUAAGGUUUAUUUGCCUAAUCCUAAUUAACCGCACCAUUUUUUUAAAAAACAGGUUCUGGAUUAAUAACAAGAGCAGGAUGUACGUCCUCGAAAACGCAGGUAAAAUAUAAAAUGUGACUAUAUCACUAGUAUUUUACUAUCUUGUUAUGUCCCGAUUUUAUCUGAUGUUAGCUAAGUGGUUUCUUGUAGCGGGAUAUUGGUGAUGGUUUUUGUUUGGUUUAAGUGCAGGGGAAUUUGUGAGGGAGAAUGGGCUUGAGAGUGGGGAUUGUUUGAACUUAUUUGAAGAUGAGAGCGGCAAAUUCGUGAGUACUCCCUUUUUAAUUAAUGAUCUUAAUUGGUACAAUGAUUCUUUUCAUGUUCCUUUUAAUUCAAUUUUCUAAGUAAUUAUCUCUCGUGUUUGGCAAAUUUAAGUCUCGUUUCGACAACUAAUGCCGCACCAAUGUAACAUUGAAUAUCUAAAUGGUUAAAUUUAUGAGUAAAUUUGAUUCUAUAAAUUUAAAUUUCUCGAUUUGCUUUUGAAGUACCUAUUUCAUUUCAUAACAUGAUCACAGUUGAUAUUUUUAAAAAAGGUUGGGUUGUAUUAUACAACCUGAGAAUCAACUUGAUUUUCUCAAUAUGUAUGUGUUCCAUUUCAUGAUGUUCAUAACAUUUUUCUUGCUUAAAUUUGUACAGUAUUACAUAUUCCAAAAAGUAAUCAGACCUCAAGAAACUCAACCAACAAAUCAGUUCUAUUACCAGACUAAUGAAGCUAGAGAGGAAGAAGACGCAUCAUUAGCUGUACUCAUCGAGCAACUCAAACACAGAGAACACAUGGAGGAAGAAGAAACUCGAAACCUCUUGAACAUUACUUCUUGUCCUCCAACCAACUAUGCUCAAACCUAUGGAUUGAGUACCAACAGCCAUCCAUAGGACCAUGAUCAACAACACCAAAGCAAGUGCUAUAUUCCCUUCUUAAUUACAUGGAUAGUGAUCAAAUGGUGAUAAAUAUUGGGGUAUAGAGUGAAGGAAAGAUGGAAGGAGACUUUAUAUUUUUAUAGUUUGUUUUGGGUUUUCUAUUAGUUUAAACUUUUUAAAUGUGUCUAUAUAUGGUUCAUUGUGGUGUUCAAAUUGGGUUAGUGGACUUCAAGCUAAGUAAUAAAGAUGUCUCUUUUCUAAAGGUAUUUGUGUCAUUGAAUUACUUAUAUUUACUUUACUAAAAUUUAGUCUAGAGUUCAACUUUGAUGGCUUGCUAGUGCUAGGGAUGAAAAUCCACAUAAAGGUCAACUAGCAGGAUUGAUCGUUAAUGGAUCUAUUGGGCAGAGCCAACCGUGGUUAGGUUAUCGUUCGAAUGUAUAUAUAACAAAAUCUUGAUGGACCUAACUGUUUCGUGCUUUAAGUUAUUAUGGAUUCGUUGCUGUCUAUCAUACAAGUUCAUGAAAACACUUUGUGAAUAUUUUUACUUGAGUAAUCUCAAUUCACUCUACUAUCUCACGGAUUCAGAUACUCAUCCUACUGGCUCGAGAAGGGACACAUGAAGGAUUUUUCGUAGAAUAUCGAGUUAGUUGCUCGAUUAAUUUUCAUAUCCGCCUUGUUUCCCAGACCGUUUAAAAACUGGUGAGAAUGUGAAUAUUUUCGUAUUUAUGUUUAAAUGUACCAUGGUGAUUGUUGUGAGUUCACUUGCCUACAAAAAUUAAAUUCCGUAAAAACAACUAUAUGAACCAAUCAACCUAGCAUGUAACUCGUCCCGUGUGGCCAUGUCCUAUCUUGAACUUUCUGAAUACAUAUUCGAGAUGGUACCAGCUUAAUAAGGCAUAUGUAUCCAUACCCGCCCGUUGUCAAGCCAUACUCUAUGUGCUCUACUUUGCCUAAAAGGCUUAGAAAGCAUCUCCAAGGAAGCAAGCCAACAAAAACCCCAAUAACUCAGCCUUCAUCAGUUGUAGCCACCAAAAGAAAAGAAUUGCACAAACCGGGAAACAAUGUUUGUUCAUCAAUGUUUCCUUCAGAUGGGUGUUCAGCGAAGCUGUAAUCUUGUAUAUGUGUUCACUCGUUACGAUCCUUUGGAGCUAAAUCAAGAUCCUGCAUUUGCUGUUCGAUUGAAACCAGACCAGUCUGUGAAAGGAACCUGCCAAAAGAGAACCAAGAGUGCUAACAAUUCUAGAUUGAAUCAAUGAAGCUAAUGGUCAAAGGAUUCAGCAACGAAAUUCAUGAUGAACCCAUUAAAGAACACAAUUGAAUGUAUGGAUUUGAUAUAUUUGGCUAUUAAACUCUGGUUUCCAGUAAUCCACAAUGAAGAAAUCAAAUCAGUCUUAGAUUCAUUAUGUCUCCCUCCCCUAAUUCCCAAUCAGAUUUAGCAUAAACCCAACACAAACCAGCAAUUCUCAAGGCUAAAAAUGCCUAAUUAAGCAACCAUGAGACACAAUCCCCCACGUUAAGAACUGAUUCCUCACAAAGCAUCUAGCUUUCACAACGAAAUUCCAUCAAAGCUCGAGUUCAAAAGGGAGAAUGUGUUACUGUACCAACUAAGAAGGAAGAAGAGGGUAGCAGUGAUGAGAACGAGGAACCCAACGUGAAUCACCAAGGAAGAGUCGCUUGAAGCGAAAGCUAAUCCGAGCAUUAUUGCUAGAGACGCAGCCAGCAAGAAGAAGGCCGAUUUCAGAGUGUUCCAUGUAGGAGCCUGGAAACAAAUUCAGAUUUCAGACUUGUAAAAUAUUCAAUCUUUUAAUACUUCGCCAUGCAUAGAUCGAUCGAUUCAAAACUUACGUUGACUCCUGGAGCAAGCGCGCCCAGUAAGACUGCCUCAGCUGGCGAUACGGUAGAUUUCUUGCUCUCCAUUUUUUUUCCUGGGAGCUAUCUAAAAUGCCUUGAUCUGCGAUUUUUCUCGAAGAAGAUAGCGAAGUGGUUUGGCGGUCAUUUAAGUUUUUGGAGGUGACAUUUCGGUCAUUCGAGGUUUUCGGUAGGUAACAUUUCGGUCAGUCAACUUUUAUUUUUAUGAAAACUAUCUCGAUUCGAUUCCCCGACACAUUGUAAAUCGACAUUUCUUUCAUCUGUUUCGAGAAAUUUCAAGCGUCCGGUUUCAACCGGUUCAAGCAGAUUGCCACUCAGUCUCGAAGAAUUUAUCAAACCAAACAUGGUUCAGUUCUCCCUGCAGGUUUAACAUCUGGAAUCUCAGUAACUAAUAUGAACAAAGAAGAUUAAUCAAAUUCUUCUGCACUCUGCCUAAUAAGAAGCAUUACAUACAGUUGGAAGAAGCAAUUUAUAACUUAGCUUCCCAUGAAAGUGGGCCCUCUAAAGCUUGAACCUUGCUGAUGGUGGAACAGACAUUCUUUCUCCUUAAGGUACUGCAACAAUGGCUCCGGCUCGUUCAAAGAGCCGUCCCAGUUAUAAGAGCUCUGCUGCUUACUAUGUUCAUCGUAGUAGCCACGAUUCAUCAUCGGUGGCAGCCCUGGAUACAUCAAUGGGAUGGAUGGUAUAGGAGGAACAUGACUAGCAAGAUGAUGACGUGGCUGCCCAGAAAGACCGUUAUUGCUGGCUUGAUUCUCCCUGUACUGCCUUAGCCACUCGGAAGAAGUCAUCCUACGUGGCUGCUGUGGUGCGUAUGUAUAUCCAUCGGCCAGCCCCCAGUUUGAAAAGCCAGCCGGUCUAUGUUGAUGAUCAAGGAAACGAGGGACCGGGAUGUUGCUACAACCGUUGUCGUUAACCCAUGGUGCAUCAUCCGGCAGUAAUGGUGCUGAAGGUAAUGGAGGCGAGUAGUGGUCCUGUUCGCUAAUCGCCAGCUCACUCAAGCGUUCGUCAAUGGGUGGCAAUGUGUGCUUACCCUUCGGCUUCUCGUGGCUGGAGGACGAUGGGGCCACCCAGGCGUUCAGCGAGGGAGGCCCCGCUGCGAUGGUGGGCUCCGAAAACAGGCUGGUUAAGGGCUGCUCUUGCUGUUUUCCGCGCCUGAAAUUCGUGAGGCCGGAAUGGAAGGCAAAUCGGGUACUGUUGUGAUCUCCUUGGUGAGCAUGAUUCUGCGCUAUCAGUAAGGACGUUGCGCGUCUGAGGCAUUCGUCGGCCUGGCUAGUACUGGAUUCCCUCAAAGAAUCCGACGAAUCAGAAGCCAUGUUGUAAUUGUGAAAGGAGUUGUAAAUAGGUGCAGAGUUAUGCCUGGUGAGAGGCUUGAAAAGAAUAACUUCCUCCUCUUCUAAUAAAGUCUCAGACUUUUUGCCAUUUCCGUGAUGGGUAGUACUCGACUUCUUGUCAGUAAUCCGCUUGCUAGCAUCCAUUAUUCGUCGAACUCGACACCCUUCCCCACGCUCGAAACUAUCCACCCGAGUCGAGAAGUCGAGGGCUGCGUGAGGAACAACUAGAGGCGCAAAGCCUCUUAACUCGCAGUCUUCCCACAGAGCACGAGUCAUGACCGGACCAGAAAUCUUUUCGGAGCAGCCAUCAAAAUGCUUGAGUAGCUCGGAUAAGGAGCCGAAGAAGUAAGACAUGGCACUGCUCGUGGAUCUAUCGUCCGAAGAAGCUUUUUCGACUUCAUCGAAGAUGGUCGCCAGCCACUCGAUGAAGACGAGUACAGCUGGCAACAGUAUACACGAGGACGCCAGAUCAUUGGCCUUAGCGCAUCUGUCCACUAGGCGUCCCAGUAUGAUGAAUGUAGCAGUCAACGCCCAUUGCAUUGACAAAGUACUGUCUGAAUUUGAAGCGUCGACUUCCUUGCUGUUUCUGAGAUGUUCGACCGCGAAGAUGAGUACACAGAUGAGUUGGAGGGUUCGGAGAGGCCCUCGUUUAGCUGAAUCCGUAUGCUGGUAGUAAGAUUCCAUUUUGGACUUUAGCUUUGUAUCAUCAAUGGAGAGCAAUACUUCCAGCUCUUUGACAGCAGAUGCAAAAGUAUAAGGGAACGCCUCAAAACUGAAGAAAUAUACACAACUUAGAACUAAAGAUGUUGAACAGUGUCUAGGCAUUCGAGGCAUUCUGAUUGAUUCUGGUGAAAGGAAUACAUACCUCGAAUCCAGAAAGAAGAAGCUUACGACUCGAAUCAUAAGAAGCCACAAAGAUGUCUCAUUGGACUCAACAUGUUUCUGUUCAUUCUUCCAAACACUAGAUGAUGGUUCUAAGAAGUUGAAACCAACAUCAUCUGAGAUGAAGGGUAACGAGGACGACCUGUUCUGCAUGAUCAUCAGAGAGCAAUUAACCAUAACGGCCAUUCAAUCAGCGCGAUGAACACAUGAGAAGCAAGAACCAUAUAUAUAUAUAUGAAUUGACUUACUUUUUCACACAGCAAGAGAAGGUUAUUCCAAGCAUCGGGGAAAGGCUCCUUAACAGCUAAGCUCCUUAUGCAAUGGUACAAAGCUAGGAACUCGUCGCCAAUGUACGUAGCCAACACCGCCAACUAUGACCAAGAGACACAAGCAAGCUCAAUAACCUGAAUCAUGUCGAAUGAGCUAUAAGCACUGACUGUGUUAAAAGUACCUGGUUAUGAGGGUUUCCAUUGUAAGGCCAAACUGUGGUAGCUUCCGAGUAAUGCCUAGCUGGAACUGACCAGUUCUGCCUACCCAGUUUCUCGCACUGCUCGUUAUACCUCGUGAGAUCACCGAGACAAACCAGGAACCGAUGCCACAAGAACUGAAGCUUCUGCAUUCUCUUUGGCUCAUCGGAAUCAACACCAUUGCUACUACUACCCAAGCUAAAGACUUGACCAAGGCCAUAGCAUUUCCGAGCCUUAACUAUCAAGUUCAGGUAAAAGCCACUAGCUUCGGAUAGAAAUGACAUGAACCCUUCAACACUAUCAGAACCCCCGCAUCUCGUUCUCUUGCGAAAUUCGUCGAUAACCCGGUAGUGAAGCUUCCACAGAGAGUACUCAACAUCCUGCAGCUCUUGAAGUGUGUGAUCACCUAGAACAGUUUCCUCGUAGCAAGAACAGACUUCUCUAUAGAGAGCUUGAACAUCAGAAUUCCAUAGGGGUUUGGCAUGGAUCAUUCCUAGAAACUGUUUCUCCACAUCAGCAACCUACAUACAUACACAAUCAAUCAUCAGUAACUGCUGAAAAAAGAUAAGAGAGCUUAAGGGGUCGUUUGAUAUAGAGGAAAUUCUGACUUUUCCCAAAUAAGCUUAAUCUAACAUCCUGACUUUUAACAGAGAAUUCUCCACAUUUUACUAUCCUCUUAAAAAUCAUGUAAUUCUCAAUCAUCCAUACCAAAAAAACCCUUAAAAGGAGAAAUUGGGAAAAAUCCCACCUUGCCAUGAAGAAACUAGAUAGGAAUUAAUAACUCAAGGGGUCGUUUUGUAUAGAGGAAAUUCAGACUUUCUCUUUUUGUCUACCAAAUAAGCUAAUCCAUCAUCCUCCAACUUUUUAACGGACAAUUUUCCGCAUUUCAGUAUGAAACAUUAUGAAAUUCUCAAAUCAUUGCAUACCAAACAAACUCUUAAAAGAGAGAAAUUCAUCAAAAAGAUUCCACCUUGUUGAGAAGAGGCGAUUUCUCCCUUUGAUGGUUAUCCUUAGCUUCCAUGACUGAACAACCUCUCCAGCUCCAAUUUUGACUAAAACCCUUAAAAGAAAUCAAAACCCAGAAUUCAACUGUUAGCGUAGCACAAAAGGUCAAACUCAAACAGAACAGCUACAGAGGGGUGAUCAAAAGGUUGAAGAAACAAAAAAAAACCACCCAGAUGAGACAGAAAUCCACAAAGACAGGGUUUUGGACUAAACCCACAUGGAAUUACCUGAAGAAAGGGAACAAAGAGGGGUGGAAAAGUGGUGUUUCAGCAAGUGGGAGCCGCCAUAUCCAUGGAGAUGAAGAAGAAGCAGAGAGACUGAGAGAGAGAGAGAGAGAGAGAGCUAGGUGGGAUGUACUCGUACUAGUACUGUGUGUUGGCACGGGUAAGAAUGAAGGUACUGAUAGCUGUUGAUGCAAAAAAUGGACAGAGCAUAAGGUGGCUGGCUUGAUUAUGAGAGUUCAGAGUUUAUCCUUUUCUUUCUUUCUGUCGAUCGAGUGGGGAAAAGGAGACAUCUUUCAAGGUUAGUUGAGCCUUUUUGCCUUGUUUAGUGGUAGUUUGGAGUUUCUAAAGAAGUUUGAUUAAAAAAUGUGGAUUUUUAGUUUGUUCCUUUUUAAUUUUGUAAAUAUUUUCUUAGCUAAUUUUCGGAGACGAUAUUAUAAAAUUUGGGGAAAUCAUUUGAAUGUGUCAAAUUUUUUUUUGGGUUUACAAUAGAUUUAUGAUGAAUUUAGUUUUCAUUUUUGUUAUAAGAGAAAUGAAUGAGAUGGCUUACGAAUUAGUGCGAAGAUCGUUGUUCCAUGCAUUAUCAUUUAUGAGGUAUGCAUCUUCUGACUGGUUUAUUAAUGUUGUUUAAAUAUCAUAUUUUUUAACGCAACAUUGAUUAAUAAAAUUAAAAAAAACUUGGCAUAAUAUAAUCUUNNNNNNNNNNNNNNNNNNNNNNNNNNNNNNNNNNNNNNNNNNNNNNNNNNNNNNNNNNNNNNNNNNNNNNNNNNNNNNNNNNNNNNNNNNNNNNNNNNNNNNNNNNNNNNNNNNCAAAGAUCUAUAUUUCUAUAUAAAAACACUCAUCAUUAGUUAUAAUAUUGCAUAAACAUAAAAUACUAGUAGGAACUAACAAGGGUAAUCAUUGUCACACACCAAUUUAUUUAAUACAAAAAUUCAUGAAUGAUUAUUGAAAACGAUGUCUAAUUAGGGUCCCUUGUUAUCCAAGCUAAGCCCUAUUUUUUCUAGCUAGCUUUCAAAAUUGUCUUUCUUUCAUAAAACCUUUUUAACAACCUAUAAAUCUCACAUCCUCACUUCUCUUGAGUAGAGNNNNNNNNNNNNNNNNNNNNNNNNNNNNNNNNNNNNNNNNNNNNNNNNNNNNNNNNNNNNNNNNNNNNNNNNNNNNNNNNNNNNNNNNNNNNNNNNNNNNNNNNNNNNNNNNNNNNNNNNNNNNNNNNNNNNNNNNNNNNNNNNNNNNNNNNNNNNNAUUUGUUAAUGAACAAACCAGUUACAUAGUACGUCUCUAUUGGGUUUUGGUCUACCAAUUUAUUAUGUAACAUGAUUAAACAAGAUAUUAGCAAUUUAAUAACAUGAUUAAACAGUAUAUUAGCUAUUUAAUAUGUAGUACAUCUCUUGAUUGCAAUGUGUUAAAGGAGGAGGGGAGAGCAUGUGUGGGAAGUGGAUGGUGAGUGGUUGAGUUGAUUAUGUCAAGUUACUUUCAAUUUGACUAAUUAACCAAAGUAUAAAUUAAUCCAAUUACAAAUUAUUUUUAAAAAAAACUCUUAUACAUGUAUAUACGUAGCAUAACAAUGNNNNNNNNNNNNNNNNNNNNNNNNNNNNNNNNNNNNNNNNNNNNNNNNNNNNNNNNNNNNNNNNNNNNNNNNNNNNNNNNNNNNNNNNNNNNNNNNNNNNNNNNNNNNNNNNNNNNNNNNNNNNNNNNNNNNNNNNNNNNNNNNNNNNNNNUUUAUUCAUAAAAAAAUAUGUAUCUUAAGAAAAUGGAUAAACAUAUAUAUAUAUAUAUAUAAGGUUUUGAAUUGAUGCUUCGCCGGCGGCUGCCGUGCACGCAUGAUGAUAGACCCAUUAACGUAAGUCACUUACCGGGGCCCACUUCCGAUGACCAUUUUCCUCGGCGUGGUAAGUAUUCUUCUUCCCACCCUGAUGAUCAUAACUCCUUCAUUCAUCUCCGUCGUUGGAUUUCAGAACACAAUUAUUAUAAUUUUUUAUUUUUUUAAAAUCGUAAACAAAGAAAAUAGAAAGUACAACAAUCUUAACCAUUAACUCAAUGAGUGAAAAUUAGUGAUAAUACUUUUGAAAAAUAUUUAAAAAUCAGGGUGUCAUUGAAUAAACGACUUCAUUAUUCAAGAAUUUCAAGCGCGAGGACGAGCAGUUUUUCCUGUUAUUUACAUAAAAAAGAGUCAACUUAUUUAUUAUUAUCACUUAAUCUAUUAUGUAAUUUUCUCUCAAAUUAAGUGAUUUAAAAUAGUGAUUUUAAUGAUGUUCUUGUUUGAAAUCGAGCUAAGACUAACAAGGUUAUUCAUUUUUGUCUCCGAGUGUGGGUGGUCGUUCAUUUGGGUUUAGAAGUCAAAACGAAGGACACGUGUAGGUGGGCCUGGGUCAUCCGAAGCCCAUCUCAAGCAAGAUGUGACGUGAAUUAUUGGUGGGCCGUUAAUGGAUUUCGGAUCGAUAUCUUAUAGAAGUCUUUGUCUCCACUCUUACGAUUUUGCCACAUGUCGGUGAAGCAAUGGCUUACGUGGCAGGAUCAUAAUCAGCUGAUCCUGAUUGCCAUGGGAAAACUAUAAUGAAUAGCAAAGCCAUGAUGAUGUACUCAAUGAAAAAGAUUUAUGGAAGGUCUCUUUUAAGACACAAUUAGCCAUCUUCCAAUCUAAUGUUUCCAUCUAUAUAAUUUUCUGUAUAUGUUACAAUUCGUCUUAAUACAUAAACUCAUACUGUAUCCGUCGCUGAGACACUUGCAUUCAAAACUGAAUGAGAGAUGUGGCAUGGAUGAUAAAGCAUAGUAUAUGGAAGAACAUUAAUAUAUACAUCUAAACAUGCUAAGAACUGUACCAAAAGAGUGUUGUGACCAUACACAAGCAAGACUCAAACAUCCCCACUAUAGACUCAUUCAUUGUUGCACAUGCCCUAACAUUCGAUAUGAAACCCCUUAACAUAUAUCGUUGGUUCUAUAUAGCAAUUCAUAAUCAACUAGCUGGAACAACAUCACAUCUAAUUUUCCAAAUCUCUCCUUAGAUCUCUCCAUCAUCGGCCAUGGGUUUCCACCACCACCGGUACCGGCUCGUGAUCAUUAUCCUCGCCUUAGCAACAACCAUCUUCGCGGAGUCAUCAACAACUACGACGAAUGUGGACCCCUGCAACGGCGACCCUUGCGACGUCGGGGUAGCUAGGUGGAGGAGGAUUGUUGAUCGUGGUUGCUCUCUUCCGGACAUCAACAACAACAUGUUGGCUCGAGAAAGGGAUCGGUACAUUAGCUACGCAGCACUCGCGGCCAACAACAUCCCGUGUGGGAAGCGCGGUAGGUCGUAUUACGAUUGUAGCGGUCAUAAGCGAAUGAACCCUUAUAGACGAGGGUGCACUGCAAUCACUGGUUGUUACAGGUGGACCCAUUGAUUCCGUUGGAUGUAGAGAUCAAUGGAGUGAGGUGAGUGAGUUUAAAGAUGGUUAUAUUGAAUAAGUUUGGAGAGUUGAAUUGAGCUCUGUGGGCAUGAUCAUAAACCAAAGUAGUAUGUAACAGUUGAAGUCUGUAUAUAUCAAUAUAUGUACUAGCUUAGUACCACUAGUUAUCGGUCAUGGCGAUCGAUCUAUACUUGGAAGCAAUAAACGUAUCUUUCUAUGAAUAAGGGAAUGUGCUUUGUAUGGAACAUCCUUACAAAUUUUUGUUGGAAUAUAUGGGCAAACUCAAACUCAAUUUGAUCGGUACACCAGGCUAAAUAUGUAUAAAUUUCGUUUUAGGGUGGAUUUUUUCAUCAUUUUUAAAAAGGGUAACUAUGCGGUUUUCUAUGAAAAUUGGCCAAAUAAUCAAAUCGAUUAAUUUUUGAAAUGCGGGUCGGAAACUGUUAGAAAAUCAAGUUCCACUAUAUCAAACCCUCAUAAUUAGCCAAAUGAAAUCAAAAACCCCCAUUUUUUCGUGUGUUUUUAUGAGUUUUUUUUUUCAUGUGUAUGUUAUGCAUUAGCUAUGUUACACCAUAUAUAACUUUUGGAUAGUAAAUGACAGACCAUAUCCAUACCCGUUAGUUUCUUAAUGAUUUUUAGUUAUACCAUAUUCGUACCUGCACAUAAUAGUUAUAAUUUCACGUUUGGAUAAUAUGAUGUAUAUAACCUUUUGGUUAAUAAUGUCACAUCAUAUCCACACUUGUUAGUUUUCGGAUUAUCCUUUUUGAGUGUUUUGUUUUGUUGAUGGGGAAUUGAAGAGAUUUACACUUUCUUUGUGAUCUCCAUGCAUAUGGGUGUGUAUCCCCUAAUGACAGUAAUUAGAAAUGAGUUGAACUUCCAUCAUCUAAUUACUGUCUAUGUGUCCCCGUGCGGUUGUGUCUUCCGAGCUAAGCUAUUGUGUUGCGUUCAAUGUGGUGACAUCGAAAGUUGGGAUUUUGUGCCAAGUAGUGUCCCGUAAGUACCACUAAAUAUUCUCGGUCAUAGCCAUCUAAUAAUACUUGAAAAUGAUAAUCAUAUCAUGUUAUAAUGAACAAAACUGGAACAUCCAUCUUUACAAGUUUAUAUAUAUAUGUAGCGAUUCACGAAUAAUAUUUGACGUGACAAACUCAAACUCUAUUGAUGAGCCCAAAUAUAACUUAACUCGAUCAUUACAAGCUAACUUUUUUCACUAGACCUAACCUCCACUUAUCAUAAAGAGUUUGGGUGUUUGUUUGUCUGUUAUUUUACCUUAUUUGCUUAUUGAAUAACUACAAAUUUGACACUGUUUAUGUUACUUGCACGACACAUUUUCUGUCAAAUGUGUACUAGUGAAUUUUUUUUUACAAACAAACCAUAAACUUUUAUAUUUUGAAAGAAUAAUAGUAAAUAACAUACAAGAUACCCCCAUCGGAGGUACAGUCUUUGCGAACAAAACUAUAUGUAUUACGGAUCUUUACAAGUAAGUGACUUAAACUGUUUCUCUCCAAUCUAGUAGGCAAUUGAAUCUAAGGAUAAAUCAAGUUCAAGAGACUAGCGGACGAGGGAAACAAAAAUAACAAGGAAGGCAGUCCGAAAAUCAAAUUAAACCUAACGAACAUGAAUGAAUUUUGUUCUUAUUAGGCUAUCAUCGAGGGUGGCUAGGACCUUAGUUGGUCGGGCACCGGGCUUCAAUGUGGCAUACCAGUCGCUCGGAGCUGACUGGUUGUUGGUGCUGAGGGUGAGAUCUGGCCCGCUUUCCGGGCUUAUUUGUGUGCCGACGAGCUGAGAUUCAAUUCGAUCUCCAUUGGGUCCGAAUUGGUUAGCUCACACCUACGUCGUUUUUUGUCCUCCGUGGUGGUCCGGUAUUCGUCUUCUAUUGCUAGGAUCUCGAGCUCAGAGUUCCCCGGUGCUGACUGCAGAUGUGAGCUAGUGACUCCGGCGUGGGAAUACGAACUAUGUGUCGUGUACUAGUGAUACUAGUGAUUUAUUAAUCAAGUAGAUAUAUUUCGUCAAAUAUUAGACGGUAUAUAACAUUCGUGACAAUUUUGACAAAUAACGAUUAAAAUCACAUAAUUAAGUCUAUUAUAUAUGUAGUCUAACUAAAAUUCGAAUUAAAUCCCGAAUCAACUAGUGAAUCAUGCACCUUGCUUGGGGCAAACAAUUAUAAAAGUCAACGAACCCCUCCUAUUACUUCUUUCCAUCUCUAUUUUCUUCGAGUAAAGGGAUCGUCUCAAUCGGCGGAUUAGGGAGCUAGUUUUUCCCUUGUUGCACACCGUAUGACCUUUGCUUCGCUAAGGAGUUAGGGACGAACUUUAUCUCGCAUUUCACAUAUCUUAUGUUGCAAUUCCAUCCCUUCAAAUCUAAAUUGUUAAAUGUCUCGAAUGAGCAAUUACAUAAAGUAGCACAUCUAACUUGAUAACCAAUUGAACGUACUGAAACCGGCUCUUCAUAGCCUUUUUUCCUUCAACCAAUCGUCUCACCUGCCUAAAUCAAUAUGAGCUGAGCCCAAUACUUUACAUGAGACAAACACCGAGCUCAAGCCCACCAGCCCAUAUAUCUACAGCCCAAAGCCCUCUUCAUAGCCUUUCUGACUGCCGUCCAUCUCUAACCCCAGCUAAUAAAAGUCGCCUGAAUCUCUGUCUCUCAAAGGUUUCGACAAGUUUGAGGAACCGUGAAGAAGCCUCGGGUUUUUCUUUCUUUCUUUCUUUCUUUCUUCACGAGAACAACGUCGAUGGAUCCUCUUCAUAAAACCACAAAGCCAAAGCGUUACUUCACACGAAAAUUGUUGACAUCACGGUUGUUGUCAUAAAGACUUGAAGUGUCGUCGGAAGCUUUAUUAAAUUUCAGAUCAUCAUCAGCAUUCAGCCGCCGCCUGUUGAAGUCAUAUUUCCUGAACGUUGUUUCAGAAAUAAAGCUGAGCAUCUCUCAGCCCAGUCUGCACGUAUGGUGUACACUAGUGUGGUUCAAGCUAAAGCCUUUUUAUUUUUAUUUUUAUUGCAUUUUUACACGAUACAUGACAUACAUGACUCGUUGCGGGUUACGGGUUAUUUCGGUCCAACUUCACAUUCACAAUAACUAUAUAUUUCAGCUACGAACCUUGUGUAGUUAUAUGAUGACAUGCUACAUGAUGAGUUUGUUUAUUUUGUUCCGAUGUUUUUCUCUUUUUGCUACUCCUCAUUUUUAGAUGUUGUUAAUUAUGUCGGGUUAAAUUUAAUUUAAAUGAGUGACAUCUUUUGACUGUUUCAGUGGAGUAAAAACAAGAGGUGAUAGUUAUGUUUAAAAACGAGUUGCAACUCGUAAUGAAGUAGAUAUGAAGUGGGAAGUGUAAGACAUCGUUUUUCGUGACAUAUGUGGGGUGGAAUUGACUGGAUUUAGAGAUAAAUUUUUAGACGCCCAACCAAUUAUGUUGUCUGCGGCACAAAACGACAUCCACAAUUAUAUAUGUCGGAUUCGGAAGUUUAAUUCUGCCUAAUUCUAACCUCCAAAGUUCGUUUGUAGUGGUCUGAAUUUGUCAAAUCCAACAAAUUUAUUUGGUGACUUUGAAAAUUCUAACCCAAACUAACACCCUUUAAGAAAAAACCAUAUCUAAAUGAUUAAAUUUGAUAAAUGCGUAUGAGAUGAGAAUACCAUGAGCCGAUUUGAGCAGGUUCAGUAGUAUGAGCCUAGUUUUGAAGCUUGUAUACGAAAAAAUCGAAGAAUUGGAGGUCAACUAGGCUUAAUGAUGACCUACAACUAACCCAUAAUCAGCAACCCGAAUAAUUAACGACAAAUCACAAUCAAAUGGUCAAGUAGGUGGUCUUAUAAUUAUCAUUAACUUAUACUUCCAAACUUUCACGCCCCUCCGUACCUAAAAGUAAUUAAAUUGAGAAAGUGAUUGGUCAUCAUCUGAGCAAUUGGCGUUGAUUAACAAACUAAUUAAUAAUUAAGAGAUUUUAUUAUGGGAAAUUAAAAAAGAACAUGUACAGAAACGAUAAAGAUGAACACUUUGGUCCAAAUUUGCGGCCAUGUUGUCUAGAAAGAAACCCAAUAAAUAAUUAAUUUUAUCUAAAUUAUCUAGUCAAUAAUAUCUAUAUUUAUUUAUUUCUUUAUUUAUUUUAAGGUUUUGGAUUGGUCGAUAGUUGCCGAGCAUACAUUCAAACUCUCACAUGAUCCUUCCUCCAAUGUCGUUUUCAUGUCGUCUGUCUCUUAACUCAAUUCCAAAUUUAUGUAUUGGUAAAUUCAUACUUCAAUCCGAAUUUUGUAGAUAUUUUUCGAGCAUUUUUUGGUCUUGUUCACUUGUCAACAUGGAAGCACAACAUCGAAAUUCUCGGGAUCGGUCCAUCGAUCUGAACCAGCCAUCGACGACGGAGUAGUACAACGUACGUAACUUGAGGCUCUUUUAGUCGAGUUGGUCGACAUUUUAUGGCAAGUGGAUUGAGUAUUUGGGUUGGGAGGAUAAGCGAUGAGGUAUAUAUAUAUAUAUAUNNNNNNGAGAUGAGGUAUAUAUAUAUAUAUAUAUAUAUGGGUAAUUGUUUUGAUUAUGUGACUGCGAAAUUUGGCCAAUAAAAAGUUUAAAAUAACAUAUAAUUAUAUUGAAGAUUAGUUAAACCCCGUGGGGUACCUCAUCUCUGAGCAAAAUCAAAGUUUAACUCCAUUGAAUUGUUGAGAACAUGUUACGAUGGAAUUACAAAAAAUUAGUAACAAUAUAACAUAAGUAAAUCACAAAUCAAACAAUCAUCUCUAAAUAAUUAUUAAUAUUUCAAUAACUUAAAUUGUUGGGAGAUGGAUAUUGAUUUUAUAUUAUUUAUUAACACAACCCUUCAAAAUAAAGUUUUUAAAACAAUCUAAAAUAAGUCAUUGAUGUUAGCUUAUCCAGAGUCAUGAUUCACACCUGUCGAGAUAUAAUUCAAAUUGAUUUUAUUUUAUUCUUUAAUACUUUCAAUCUUUUUUACAUANNNNNNNNNNNNNNNNNNNNNNNNNNNNNNNNNNNNNNNNNNNNNNNNNNNNNNNNNNNNNNNNNNNNNNNNNNNNNNNNNNNNNNNNNNNNNNNNNNNNNNNNNNNNNNNNNNNNNNNNNNNNNNNNNNNNNNNNNNNNNNNNNNNNNNNNNNNNNNNNNNNNNNNNNNNNNNNNNNNNNNNNNNNNNNNNNNNNNNNNNNNNNNNNNNNNNNNNNNNNNNNNNNNNNNNNNNNNNNNNNNNNNNNNNNNNNNNNNNNNNNNNNNNNNNNNNNNAAGAUGAUUGAGAGGAAAAAGCCAAAAAAAAAAACACUGCACAUGAGAUGGGAGAGUAGACUGAGAUCCAAGUUGAAGUGACCCACCAACCCACCAUAUAUCAAAGAUUAGGGUUUGGAUUCAAAGAAUCAAUUGGCCUCUUUGUGGUCCUACGAUAAUGGUAAAAAGUGUUGUCCAUGUUUGGUAAAGUCUCGUGGUUGAAUUUUCGUAUAAUUCGUAGCGGAUAUUUCAGUAAAGAAAUAAAAUGUUCGUGAAAGUUAACGAAUUACAAGUGGUAAACCGAAACAACAAAAAAGUAUGAUGAUGACAAGACACAUUUAAGUUGUAAAUGUUAAUUGAUCGUAAGAUCAAACAUUAAAUUAUUAUGUAUCUAUUUUAGUAACGUUUUAAGAGUUUUACUUCCUCAAAAAGAGUAAGAUGAAGUUACUGUCUUACUGAGGCAGCCACCGACGGUAAAAGCAACUUAUGGAACCAAACUUCGACUACCCGUAAAAACCAAUCUAGAAACCGAAACGAAACCGGAAUUUGGCUUUGACCCCAAUUGCAUUCAUUGUUCACACUCCCACCAUCUAGACAAAAUACCAUGUUUCUCGCUUCUUGCUCUUUUCUUCAUGUUAUCUCUACAGCUGUUUUGUACAUAAUUCAAUGUUUCAUCAUCAUCAUCAUCAUCACAAGACCCACUUCCAAUUUCCUUUCUCCCCACCAAUGUUUUUUCCUCUCAUGUCCCCAUUUACUACAGUGUCUAUGGUCUCCCCAUGGAGUCAAAAAAGGAAACUUACAUUCAAAGUAGUGUUUGUUGCUUUGCUUUUGCUUGUGUUGGUUGAUCCAAAAAGCAAUACCCCCAAAAAACAACUCUCCUUCCAUCUUUGCAUGAUUGCUUUUAAACAAGCCACACUCAAAGUAAUUCCUCAACCCUCUCUUUGACUCCUUAAUUUCAUAUUAAAAGCCAAAAAGUAGACCGAAGAAUUCGGUCGAUGUAUGUCGUUCAGACAGUACAGUAAUAUAGACCCUAUAAUACCCGAGCAAUACUCAAAACACAUUCGGAUGACAGAGAGUUUGAAGUAUCGAAUUGAUACUUCGAAAAAAUGAUUACAAACUGACCGGAUCAGAUGGAAUGAUCAAAAGUUAGAGUAGACCAGACCCUAUUUUGACUAUCGAACAAUACUCAAAACACAUUCAAAUAAGAGAGGGUUGAAGUAUUGAUACCUAGAAAAGAUGAUACAUAUCUACCUAUGAAUCUUUACCAUAUGAGUCACUCACUCUACCAUUCCCACCAAAGAUAAAAACUAGUUAGCUAAAAGACAAAUACCAUACAUACCAAUUUUCACAAACUAGUGACUCUUCUUUCUCUUGCUUCUUCUACCAAUGUCACUAUCCCCCCACAAAUUUUCCAAUGGGGGACCAAAUUGGAAAAGCUACAAGUUAAAAACAAAACAUAAUUUACCCCCUUUCCCACACCCCACCAAUCCCAAUACAAACCCAAUGGUAAAAAAAAAUUUAUUCCAAAACCCCAAAUGAUUCCUCCACAAAUGAAAUAAAUAAAUGGGAAGGGCUACACCCAAAAAGUCCAACAUCAAACUCAUAAUCAAUCAUCAUUAGGUUUGAAGACCAAACAACACUUGUGUCUCUCUUAAUACCAAAAGUUCUAAAAUAUUCCAAUUGGGUAAACAAAUUUAAUUUUGAAAUUAAAAAACUAAAAUAAACCACAAUUGUUUGGGGGGAAUUUUGGCAUCUUUCCUUGGUCCACUCAAUGCACCCAAAUAUUUAACAAAUAGAGACAUCAUCUAACAACAAGGUCAAGCUAGAUUCCUUUGCCUAUCCAACCCAACUCAUGCCUAGCCUCCUAUAAAAGUCUAAGCCCUCAUCAAAUUCUCCACUAACACCACCACCCUCCGGCAACCGAUCGAUAAAACUAACAAUUAAAUUCAAUUAUCAUUACGAAAUUAUCUGAGAAUAGCUUUAUUUCAGUUGAUAAGUGCUUUCACGUCAAUCGCUUUGUAAAGUAAUAGCGUUUUUAAUAACGACCAAGACGCAAAAAUGCAUUUCAUAAUUAGUAAUUCAAUACUUAAAGAGUGAAAUCUUAAUUAUUUCGUAAAGAAUUACUGACUUCCGAUUACAAUGUGAAUUCGGUAAUUGGGUUUAUUAUUAUUAUUUUCAAAAGAAGAACCCAUUUUCCCCAUUGUACCCAAUUUUCCAAUUUUGAUCAUGGUAAUUUUUUUUACCUGUACUAGGUCUAGGAGGAGUGCCAACCUCCACUAUUCAUCUACCAACCUCGGUAAAAAAUUUCUACCACCGUGUAUCUAUUAAUUAAUAAUUACCCCCAAGAGUAAUGGAACUGAAUCCCGUUACCCAAAAUUUCACAUUUAAUGCCACAGUCAAUGAAUUAUGAUUUAUGAUUCCCUCCCCCAUGAAACUUAUUAUGGUAAAAAUUAAUUACCAUUUUGAGCAGAAAAUAAAAUAGAAAAAAAUUCACCCCAGACAUUUCUGCUUUGGAUUCCUAACCGGGACAGAUAACCUAAAUAAAGUCAACACAAUUUGACUGUUCCUUUUGCUGUAAAAUUACAAAACGGCACCCAAAAUUAUACAAUUAGAAGCAAAGAUCCUCCAUUUAAUUUCUCAAUUUCUCAUCAUCAAUGCCAUUAACAUAUACUUAACGGGGAAAAAAAAUCUUACAACGGAGUUGAAGAAAAGAUUAAUUAUAACAAAAACGGAGGAUAAAAAAAAUUUCAGAAAUUUAAAUAUUAAAUUAUUUAUUUUUCUGCUUAGUCUGAACCUGAGACUCGAGGCGACGUCACCGGAAAAAGCGGCAACAACCGCGGCGGCUCCGCCACCCUCGGCN
rnacentral:lncRNA from 1 species